rnacentral:rRNA from 1 species
UACGUAGGGUGCAAGCGUUAAUCGGAAUUACUGGGCGUAAAGCGUGCGCAGGCGGUUGUGCAAGACAGAUGUGAAAUCCCCAGGCUCAACCUGGGAAUUGCAUUUGUGACUGCACGGCUAGAGUGUGUCAGAGGGGGGUAGAAUUCCACGUGUAGCAGUGAAAUGCGUAGAUAUGCGGAGGAACACCGAUGGCGAAGGCAAUCCCCUGGGCCUGCACUGACGCUCAUGCACGAAAGCGUGGGGAGCAAACAGG